rnacentral:rRNA from 1 species
CCUACGGGUGGCAGCAGUGAGGAAUAUUGGUCAAUGGGCGUAAGCCUGAACCAGCCAAGUCGCGUGAGGGAUGAAGGUUCUAUGGAUCGUAAACCUCUUUUAUAAGGGAAUAAAGUGUGGGACGUGUCCUAUUUUGUAUGUACCUUAUGAAUAAGGAUCGGCUAACUCCGUGCCAGCAGCCGCGGUAAUACGGAGGAUCCGAGCGUUAUCCGGAUUUAUUGGGUUUAAAGGGUGCGUAGGCGGCCUUUUAAGUCAGCGGUGAAAGUCUGUGGCUCAACCAUAGAAUUGCCGUUGAAACUGGGGGGCUUGAAUAUGUUUAGGGCAGGCGGAAUACGUGGUGUAGCGGUGAAAUGCUUAGAUAUCACGAAGAACCCCGAUUGCGAAGGCAGCCUGCCAGGCCAUGACUGACGCUGAUGCACGAAAGCGUGGGGAUCAAACAGGAUUAGAUACCCCAGUAGUC